AGAGAAAUCUGUUCUGUGAAUCAGUGACAUUUUGUGAGUGGAGGAGGGUGCACGCGAAUCAAGUUAAAAUUUCGUAUUUAAAAUCGUAAUGCGAAACAGUUUUUCACAAUCGGAGUACCCUUUAAUAAUCUGACAAUGUUAACGUUCUAUGCGUUAACAUUGUGUGUGUGUGUGGCGGUCGUCUCAGCGUCACCCUUCGACCAGAGACAGUGCCCUUAUGAUAGCUGCAACCAAGUGAAGGAGGGAGUCCUGAAUUUCCACAUAGUGCCUCACACGCACGAC